AUACUUAUAUGGCCAGGGAGAUACCAUGAUCACACGUGGUUUCCCCAGGAUGAAGUUUAUCCAUUACACUCCAGAUGUGCUGGCCCUGCAGUUUCCCGGAAUUUGGGAAGCUGACUGUAUACUUUGUGGGAGUGGAGGACUGUGUUCUCACUCUCCUCUG